rnacentral:lncRNA from 1 species
UGGAUCUGGCAUUGCUGUGGCAGUGGCGUAGGCCAGCAGCAACAGCUCUGAUUUGACCCCUAGCCUGUGAACCUACCUUAAAAAAAAAAAAAAAGAAAGAAAAGAAAAAUAUGCCUUUUGUUGACUAUUUAGUUCCCAAUACAGGUCUUUUUGGUCAGGGGUCAGUGUAGCUGGAUUUUCUUUCUGGUGGUCAAUAGAUGCCUGGUUGCAACUCUUCUGAUAGGAAACUGAAAUGCUAUGUCCUUAAUUUAAAUACAAUCCCAGAAACCACUAACAUUUAAUGGUUCCUACAGACUUCUGGUGCCUGCUCUAAGCAUUUUAUCUAUCUAUCUAUCUAUCUAUCUAUCUAUCUAUCUCUAUCUAUCUAUCUAUCUAUCUAUCUAUCUAUCUAUCUAUCUAUCUCUAUCUAUCUAUCUAUCUAUCUAUCUAUCUAUCUAUCUAUAAUCUUGUUAAUCCCUUUCCAUAAUCCAAUGAAGCAUGUUCAACUUUUUUUUUGGGGGGGGGUGCACUGUGGCAUGUGGAAAUUCCCAGGUUAGGGAUUGAACUUGCACCAAGCCAUGACGUGAACCUGGAACACAGCAGUGACAACAUUGGAUCCUUAAUCCACUGAGCCAUCAGGGAACUUCAAAGCUGGUUUUUUUUUUUUUCUUUUUUUCUUUUUGUCUUUUUAGGGCUGCACCCAUGGCAUAUGGAGGUUUCCAGGCUAGGGGUCCAAUCAGAGCUAUAGCUGCUGGCCUAUGCCACAGCCACAGCAACGAGGGAUCCGAGCUGUGUCUGUGACUGCACCACAGCUCAUGACAAUGCCGGAUCCUUAACCCACUGAGAGAGGCCAGGGAUUGAACCUGAAUCCUCAUGGAUGCUAGUUGGGUUUGUUAACUGCUGAGCCAUGACGGGACCAAAGGUGGUUCAUUUUUAAUCUUAUUUUACAAAUGAGAAAACUGAACCGAAAAGGGCAUACCACACUGAGUUCUUAGGUGCCAAAGUUAGGACUUGAACCAGGUCUCUUUAAAUUGAAAUUUGGUUGUCUUCGAACUAAAAUAGGAAUUUGGGGUGGGAGAAAACUUCAGCUGUUUAGCUUGAUCAAAUGUGAAAGCAAUGUUGAAGCUCUCUUCCUGUAUCUAUUCAAAUGUAUUUAUUGAUACAUUAUCCAUCUGUGUUAAGUGCUGAGGUCAGGACAGUGCAGCAAACAGGUCUAUCCUUCUCUUGUGGCAUUUAGUGACUACUGGGGUCUCAGUGAUAGCUUGGUGACAUUCUAGGCUCAAGUCACCUGUGGUUGGGCUAGGGCCCCUGGAUGGCCCCACCUGAACACCAUUGAAUGCAUUCUCCAAAGGAGGGAGGAUUUUCUGUUACCAGAGAAGAAAGAGAGAGAUGUGAUACUGAAAAAAACAACGCCAUCAUUUACAGAUGCUUAACACUGUUGGAGAAGGGGGAUCAAGAAAAUCUUCUGAAGAGGUGAUGUCUACACUGAAAGAUAAGUAAGAGUGAGGCACCCAGUGAAUGGGCAAGAGGCACUAGUGGUGUAAGACCUUUCCAAGGAAGGUGGGCAGCAGGCUUAAAAACUUGGGGGCUAAGGGGCGCUCAAAGAAUUUUUGGCACAACAUGAGUGGAAAGGAAUGGGCAUGGGGAGUAUGUGAAAAAGAUGAACGUGAAGAGAAAAUGAAAUGAUUUGUACACCAUAUUGAGGGCUUUGGACUUUAUCCUGUGGGCAGUGGGGAUCCAUUGAAGGCUUCAGGCAGGCAGUAUGACAUAAUCAGAUCUGUGGAUCAGAAAGAUGUUUUUGGGAAAGCUGUCUUGUUCACAGCUGUGUCCUCAGUGCUUAAAACAGAGGCUGGCACAUAGUAGGUACUCAAAAAAUAUCAGUUGAAUAGACAGCCUAGGUAAGAUUGCUCUGGGCCAUAGAACCCCCCCACCCCAGGUGAAAAUUAAUGCUGAGCAUAGAUUUAAAAGUGCUUUUGGGAGUUCCUGUCAUGGCGCAGUGGAAAUGAAUCUGACUAGGAACCAUGGGGUUGUGGGUUCAAUCUCUGGCCUCGCUCAGUGGGUCAAGGAUCCGGCGUUGCCAUAAGCUGUGGUGUAGGUCACAGACACAGCUUGGAUUUGGCAUUGCUGUGGCUCUGACAUAGGCCGGUGGCUGCAGCUCCGGUUAGACCCCUAGCCUGGGAACCUCCAUAUGCCGCAGGUGUGGCCCUAAAGAGACAAAAAAAAAAAGGCAAAAAAAGGUCUUUUUUUGGAUUGGGGGUUCAAAGCACUGUAAGUGACAAGAAUAUUGUCUGUCAUUUUCUUCAACUUCUCUGCUUUCAAGGGCCUCUGCCCUGCUUUAUUCUAUAGCCAUCACUCACGCUUAUUUUCAUAUCUUCACCCUUGUAUUAACAAGUGGGCUGUCCUAACUGCCUUUCACACGCAGAGGCACUGAUUUCUGGAAGUGGAAGGAGCCUCCCGGAUGCUGGAGGCCACUGCCUGGAGAUAAUUCCUUUUAGGAUCAAGCCACCUGUAAGCCUUUGUGCUGCUGAAAAGAAACAUCCCCAUGUAACAGGAUGUGCCUGGUUAAUUUCAAACCUUUGAGGCUCAGGCAACCCCAUGACAUAUCAGAGCAGAAAGAAAAGAGGAGAACUCCAUUGAAAGUGCUGGCACCCCAUGCAUUGAUGGAGGAGACAGUUGGAUGUAGUUUUUUUUUUAAAGGAUAGAUUUUAAAGUUACACUAUCUUGAUUCAAAAUUCCAGGUUCUGCCACUUAUUAAUUGUGCAGCAGUUUUAUUUCUCUAUGGCUCAGUUUUCUCCUCUGCCAAAUGGACGUAACUUUUUUAUUUUGCAGGUUUUUAAUGAAGAUUAAAUAAGCUAAAGUAGAAAAAAGUAGUAGCUGUUUGGUAAAGAGUAACCGUGAUUUUCUGGGGUAACUCAAGUCCAGAUGACAGUAGUGCCUGAGCUACAACAUGGGUCAGAGGCUGAGCCAGGACUAGAUGGGAAGGAAAUGGCAUUUUGAGGUCUUUUUCCUUCCUGAUGCCCUUUUCCAGAUCUAUUUCACUUCUAAGUAGAGGACAUAGUGUCACAACUAUGCAAUACUGGUCACAAAAUUCUCUUAAUUAGGAUUCUUUUAUCAUAAGUGACAGAAUCACAACUCAGACACUUACUGGCUUGGCAGCUGUGAAGGACAGGUGUGGAGUUAGUUUCAGCAGCCCAUUCAUGGGUUAGUGUUCCUUUCUCCUUGUCUCAUUUUGGCUUCUUAGUUGGUCACCAUUCUUCUCUCUGACAUGGGGUUCCCUUUCAUGGCACAGUGGGUGGGGUGGCUGUGGGGCAAGGUCACAAGAAACUCUCGAGCUUCUAUCACAUCAGCUCGGCAGCACUAGAGGAAAGAGAAAGCAUUUUCUUCCCAACUUCAGAGCAGUGGAGGACUGUGGUUGGCUGUCCUUGAUCACAUGUCCACUACUUGAACCAAUCACCAAUCACUGUGAUCAGAAAAUGGCAUGCUAUAAUAGUACCAUGAUAACGUAGGCAUGGGUCAUGUGACUUCCGUCCCAUGUGACUGCUGCCAUUGAGAUGGGUGGUUCCAUCAGAACUGCAUGGAUGACAGAGGAAUAUCCCCUGAAAAUGUGUGAGAG